UAUGUAGUGAACUGCAGGAUUAUGAUGG
rnacentral:sRNA from 1 species